rnacentral:tRNA from 1 species
AGCGCAGCGGCGGCGGCCCUGCUAUCCUGAGUGGCACAUGGAUGGCACAAGGGACCGGAAACGCGGGGUUUCCGGGGGCCGCAACCAGAUUGAAAAUCCGCGUGUCACUGGUUCGAUUCCGGUCCCGGGCACCA